rnacentral:rRNA from 1 species
GAUGAACGCUGGCGGCGUGCCUAAUACAUGCAAGUCGAGCGAACGGACGAGAAGCUUGCUUCUCUGAUGUUAGCGGCGGACGGGUGAGUAACACGUGGAUAACCUACCUAUAAGACUGGGAUAACUUCGGGAAACCGGAGCUAAUACCGGAUAAUAUUUUGAACCGCAUGGUUCAAAAGUGAAAGACGGUCUUGCUGUCACUUAUAGAUGGAUCCGCGCUGCAUUAGCUAGUUGGUAAGGUAACGGCUUACCAAGGCAACGAUGCAUAGCCGACCUGAGAGGGUGAUCGGCCACACUGGAACUGAGACACGGUCCAGACUCCUACGGGAGGCAGCAGUAGGGAAUCUUCCGCAAUGGGCGAAAGCCUGACGGAGCAACGCCGCGUGAGUGAUGAAGGUCUUCGGAUCGUAAUACUCUGUUAUUAGGGAAGAACAUAUGUGUAAGUAACUGUGCACAUCUUGACGGUACCUAAUCAGAAAGCCACGGCUAACUACGUG